GGGUCGAAUCAGAGCUGCAGCUGCUGGCCUACACCACAGCCGCAGCAACACAGGAUCUGAGCCCUGUCUGGACCCACACCACAGCUUGGGGCAAUGCCGGAUCCCUAACCCACUGAGUGAGGCCAGGGCUCGAACCCAGUUCCUCAUGGGCCCCUCAGUGGGUUCCUUACCACUGAGCCAUGAUGGAAACUCCCUACUGUUUUUUUGAAUAAAAGCCAUCUCUUUGAUCACAGCAGCUCCUAAAUUGAAGACUUUUACGACUGUCCUUGUUUCUGCCCAUCUCCCAUCUGGGGUUGGGUGCCCCAGCACAGAGGAGAUUUGAGAGGGCCUCCUGGGCCCCUGGGGGACUCCUGCCUCUGGAGAGGACCCUGCCCCCCCCCCCCCCCCGGGAACUGUCUGUUUCUCAAGCCUUGUUUCUCAAAGUUUCAGCGGCGAAAGGCAGGGGAAGUGUAGAAAAACGAAUUUGCAUCCUUGUGACUGUGCCCUGGCCCUCGCCCUCUUGGAGGCAAAUGCAGAGUAGAACCAGAGGUGUGACUUUGGACGGUCCUCCAGCCCCUUCCCCCAGGGACCCCCCACCCCCAGAAUCAUGGCUGGGAACGUCGUGGGAAAGUGCUUCUCUCCAGCUAAACUGACCUUUGUCUCAGGACCUGGGGUAGUUAACACCCAAAGAAAAGGCACCUGAUCUUUUGUUUUUGACCGGUCAUGUUACAUGGGGCAAGAGGGAAGGUGUUUGAUUUCACCUUGGAACUUGUUCUCCUACCUGUUAUGGAGCAGCCACUCCGACAGGGAAGGUUGAAGGGCAACUGAGAGACACCUGCUGGUGUGCAGAGACCAGAAUGUUCCAUAGGUGCUCGCUCCAGAGAAAACCCAGCGGGUGCCCUGGUUCCCCCCACCCCCCUGGGUGCCUGGGAGUCCAGUCAUCCCCGGAAAGCACCCGAGUUUUCUUGCUGGUGGCCAGCUGGGUCCUUGAUCAACCCUUCUGGGCAAUCAUGGCAAUUUUUGUCAAGAGCCAUGCAGAUCUUUGUAAGCUUUGACCCAGUGACCCCACUUUGGGAACGCUCUCUCAGGGAAACAAUAGAAAAUCCGGACAAAAUGUUGUACGGAUGUGGUCAGCUCAGCUUUUUUGGCAAUAGCAAAAUAAAUUGGAGAUACCCAAAGCCUCUGACCAUAACCAAAGACCUGAAUCAUUUCUGCUGUAGCUGCUAAGGGGAAGGCCAGGGAGGCUGGGUGAAGCUGAGCAAAGGCAGUUGUUUAUUGGGGAAAAGGUGAGAGGGAAAUACACCCCGAAAUCAUGUCAGAGUUGUGGCCAGGGGACCAGAAUAUGGAUGUCUUUCUUUUCCCUUCUCUGGUUUAUACCUUUUCUGUGAUGUGGUUAUGGCACUUCUACUGGAAAAGGAAUUCUUUCCUUUCUUUUCUGCUAAGAAACCAAGUGCUCGGCUGUUUCCAGGGAAAGCAAGAAAACCAACGUUGAGCUCCCUUUCUGCAUGGCACUCGAGAAAACAGACCAGUUCCUAAAACGAAGGCCUAGGUCCCAGUGCUCCUUGGCCAGUUAAUAGGAAUAUAAGAGGACAGCUCGCAAAAUCCUCCAGUAUAAUAGCCGCCGUGGAUCAGACCCCCAGACCCGGGCAGAAGGCAUUAUUGUUGCCAUUUAUUAAUACUAAUAAUAAUGGGGUCAUGGGGGAGGGGGAGUCAGGGAGAAGUCACGUGACUCUCUCCACUCUCAGCGCUGUCUCCCAGAGCUGCUGAUGGGGUUCAGGGUGUUUAGAGACCCCAGUACCAGGACCUCUUUUCAAGUCAUUUGGAGAUUAUUUUCUGGGAAAGCUAAGGUGAGGGACAGCUACCAGGGCACAGCAGCAAAUUGUUUUCCAUGUGGGUGACGUUGUCUUUGUAAGUGGGAAGCAGACGUGUAGUCUGGUUUAGAUGGAGGGGGUACUGCCCUGGUGUGUGCUCAGUGGCAGAUCUGGAACCUUCUGUCCGCAGGUGGGCAUCUGAGCUUCCGUCACUUUGGGAGGGCAAAUUUCCAGACUGUCUCUGUGGUAUUUAAAAUGCUAUUGUCGGGAGGUCCCAUUGUGGCUCAGUGGUAACAAACCUGACUCCUAUCCGUGAGGUUGUGGGUUCGAUCCCUGGCCUCGCUCAGUGGGUUAAGGAUCCAGCACUGCCGUGAGCUGUGGUGUAGGCCGGCACCACAGCAAUGCGGGAUCCGAGCCGUGUCCAUGACCUACACCACAGCUCAUGGCAAUGCCGGAUCCCUAACCUACUGAGCGAGGCCAGGAAUUGAACCUGUGUCCUCAUGGAUAGAUACUACUCAGGCUCGUUACCACUGAGCCCUGACGGGAACUCCAAAUAGCCAUUUAUUGAGGGUCAAGAAAAGCCCUUGUUUUCCUCAUUCCCGGUCUCCUCCGCUCUCCUGUUGGGCCUCAAGCCCGGGGCCCUCUGCUCCGAGGCACCUUCUGGAGGAAAUGACAGGCAGUUGUGCGGAAAGAUUGGAGCAGGGAAGCUCCAGCCACCUGCCGAGUCACACCUGCUCCCCCCACCUGCCCCCACAGGGUCCGGGGAGGGAAGUGCAGCCCAGAACAGAGUGGGAAAGCUGCUGGCGAGAGAGGUUUCUGCCUGGGCACAUUAUCUCAUUUAAUCUCCCUCGCCCUCUGCGGGGACGUGUCAUUGUCGUCAAGUGUGGCUCAGGUGUCAAGCAGUUUCAGUAAAAGGUUUCAGCUGCUCCCCAGCCAGGAAACCUUGCCUCUGCUGGGUGUGUGUGACCAGCCCUGCCAGCUGCUCCACGUCCCCUUGCUCCUCUCUGGAGGAGGGGUCAUGAAGCAUCCUUAUAGGAGGGGGACGUCGGGGAAAGGCCUGUCGCCUCCGUGGUCCCUCUGCCUUCCCCGAGGGGUGUGGCUGCGGCCUGGGUGGCAGGGGUCUGUUCUAGGUCUUCCUCCCUGGCCCCCACGCCUCUCUCAGAGCCUGAGACAAGCCCUCUGUUGGAGAAGAGUUGAGAACUAACUCUAGGAACAGGCAUCCAUGGGUAGAUGAGCUGGGAGGAGGCGCUGGCCUGGUUCGAGCCCAGCUGAGUGUUGUCAGCGCUGAAGUAGCCAUGAGCUUCCUGGCGCUCUGUUCUGCUUCACGGUGACAAACACUAUGUCUUGAAACUUAAGAGAAAAAAGAAAAAAAAAAAAGGAAGAGAAAAAAAGUCAGAAAGGGGCUUCUAUGACAGAACGUAAAGUCUAAUGACAACACCUUACAUCCGUAGAGUGCUGUGUGUUUAUGCUGUGGCCUUAUUCCAGUAAACAUCCCCAAGCCCCGGGCUUGGCUUCUCUCUCUUUGAGGUCUGUAGGUCAAGCUCACAGCAGGCCUUGCUCUGAGAGUGCUUGGAGAAUGAAUGCGCAAUUUUUCUUUCUUUUUUUUUUUUUUCUUUUUUCCGAAAAUUGAAGCCCAGAGAGGUUGAGCGAUUUGCUUUAAGGCUGCACAGCCAGCGAGGGCCGGAGUUGGGACUUAGUCCUGGCUCUUCUUCAAGUUCCCUUGGUGGCCUCCUCGCAGAUGCACAUCAGGCUGGCAGAGGAAUUCAGAUGCCAAGAGACACCCCUGUUGAAUGACCAGGGCGUUUACUGAGACCUCAUUCCCCCUUUAUUCUGAAGGCUGGUAUCCUUGUCGUCUCGGUCAGCCUGCUCUUGGGGCCACAUGCACUGUCCUCCCUAACCCCCUGCCUGCUGAAGCAUUUUCUCCUUUGUAUGACACUCUUGAGUCUCCUCCAAAGCUCCUGGAAGCCCCCUGGGGCCAUAUUCUUGAGUAGCUGAAAGUCAGGGUGCAGCCUGUGGCUGCUGCCGUAGCAGCUGGAGCGGAAGGAGGCCAAUGCUGGUCCCCGAGCGAGGCCUGGCUGUCUGCUGGGUGGUCUCAGGUCACGUCUCCUCUGGGCCAUCACACAUUCAUGUUCCAGCCUCUGCUGUUUUCAUCUGUAGACAUGGUCAUUCGUGCAUCAGACACGUCCCAUAGCCCCUGUGCAUGCCGGGUACAGUACAGGGGCUUCUGGUCGUCACAGUAAAUGCUGGCUUGUCCCUUCAGCCGGCUCUGGGUCGUGUCUUACUUGGGUCCUGUGCGCCUCCAGGCUCCGAGGUUUGGGGGGCACUGGGGAGGCUUCCCUGAGAAGGCCUUCUGCACCCCUCUGCCUGCUGCCUUUCGGGGUGCAGGGGGACUCUGUGCUCAGUGUUUUUCUUCUUCUUCUCCUGUUCCUCUUCCCUUCCCCUUGCUCCCCUUUCCCUCCUCCCCUCCCCCUCCGUUUUCCAUUUUCAGCAAGCUUGAAUUAAGCAUGAGCUGUUGCCCAGGUUUGGGUCUAGUGUCCCGAUAGAAAGAUUAGCAGCAUGCCAGCCCCAGUCCCAGAAGGUCCUCGACUGUGGGAGGAGAUGGAUAUAAACACCAACAGAGAGUUCCCAUCGUGGCUCAGUGGGUUAAGAACCCCACAUGGUGUCUGUGAGGAUGCGGGCUUGAUCCCUGGCCUCCCUCCGUGGGUUAAGGAUCCAGCCUUUGCCGUGAGCUGCGGUAUAGGUCACAGGUGUGUCUCGGACCCUGUGUUGCCAUGGCUGUGGCACAGGCCUGCAGCUGCAGCUCUGCUUCAGCCGCUAGCCUGGGAACUUCCCUAUACAGCAGGUGUGGCCUUAAAAGAAAAAAAAAAAAA
rnacentral:lncRNA from 1 species